rnacentral:piRNA from 1 species
UAUUCAAUGAUAGUUACAAUU